GACGAACGCUGGCGGCGUGCUUAACACAUGCAAGUCGAACGGUAAGGCCCUUCGGGUACGACGAGUGGCGAACGGGUGGAGUAACAACGUGGGUGAUCUGCCCUGCACUUCGGGAUAAGCCUGGGAAACUGGGUCUAAUACCGGAUAGGACCAUGGACUUCACGGUUUGUGGUGGAAAGCUUUUGCGGUGUGGGAUGGGCCCGCGGCCUAUCAGCUUGUUGGUGGGGUAAUGGCCUACCAAGGCGACGACGGGUAGCCGGCCUGAGAGGGUGUCCGGCCACACUGGGACUGAGAUACGGCCCAGACUCCUACGGGAGGCAGCAGUGGGGAAUAUUGCACAAUGGGCGCAAGCCUGAUGCAGCGACGCCGCGUGAGGGAUGACGGCCUCGGGUU
rnacentral:rRNA from 1 species